CGAACGGUCGCGUAACACGUAGACAACCUGCCUCCCAGUGGGGGAUACCCGCCCGAAAGGGCGGCUAAUACCGGAUGUGGCCCUUGGUUCGCAUGAACUGAGGAUUAAAUCAAGCAAUUGGCUUCGGGAGGGGCUUGCGGCCUAUCAGCUAGUUGGUGGGGUAACGGCCUACCAAGGCGACGACGGGUAGCUGGUCUGAGAGGACGAUCAGCCGGACUGGGACUGAGAUACGGCCCAG
rnacentral:rRNA from 1 species